AGCAAGACUAGUGGAGCAAGAAGCCUACAAGGAGGGAGACAGAGAGGAACUUAUUGUUCUCUCUCCAUUGCAACAACAACAGGAGGUGGAUGUCGGAGACCAAUCUGGCAGAAGUUGCAUGGUGAUCAGAGGACAAGACAACAGGAGAGAGGUGAGCAAUACAUGAGCAAGAGAGAAGAUUGUGUUUUGCUGAGUCAGGCCACUAGGAACACAGCAAAGGAAAGGAGACUUUAGGAAAGGCAGGCCUCAGGCAGGAGGAGAGGGAAGCAAGUGAUGCCUGCUUGACAUGACAAAGAAGACAGGCUCCCUUCAAUGCCCUCUACAUUUGACUGAUUGCAAGCAUCAGGGAAAAGGAGAAAACUCAAAGGAGAUCCUCUCUGUCUCCUGUCCACAAUCAACGCUAGUGUUGCAAGAAGACUACAAGCAGGCUGGGGGAGAGGAGCUUAUCUCUCUCCAUUGCUACAGAGACUUGACUAGAAGGUGAGUAUGGGAAAAGGGGGAAGUGGGAAGGUAGAUGCUUUCUCUUUGAGAUCCAGGACAAGAGGAGCAAAGCAAGGAGAAGAUGAGGUAAAAACAGAAGAUUGUCCCUCCCUUCCUUUUCCUCCUGCUGGAAUGCCCUCUCCAGGAGACCCAUCUGUCAGAUGUUUGAUGGUCAUCAGAAGAUGACCCCAGAGUAUUUUGGCAAAGACAUGAACAGUAGCUGAGCAGGACAGACGAUUCUCUUUUCCUGAUUCGGGCCGCCAGGGCCACAGCAAGGACAGGGCAGAGUAUUUUGACAGUAGGAUUGAAGAAAGUAAAGGGCAUGCAGUACAAGCACCAUGCUCUCCCUAUAUUUAUAUCAGAUCAAGAGAGAAAACUCACAUGAGCUGGUCUCUUUCUCCUUCUUCCUGCAAGCAAGACUAGAGCGGUAAGAAGACUACAAGGAGAGAGACAGAGAGGAAGUUAUAGUUCUCUCUCCAUUGUAAUAACCACAGUUGGUGGAUGUGAGUAAGUGGAGAAGGAGCAAUGGGAACGCUCCCUCUUUUGCCAGGGGGAGACCCUGAAGAGCACAGCCAUUAGAAAUUCAGGGGAGACCUUCCUUACUUCUGGUCCAGGUCAACAAAUUGGAAAAAUUGUUGCGGAAGUAAAGAGGCUCUCAUCCGUAUCUCUCUUCUCCUUCUCUCCUGCACUGGUCUAGGAAAGAGAUGAGCAAUACAUGAGCAAGAGAGAAGAUUGUGUUUUGCGGAGUCAGGCUAUUAGGAACACAGCUAAGGCAAGAAGACUUUAAGAAAGGCAGGUCUGAGGCAGAAAGAAAGGUAAGCAAGAGGUGGCUGCUUGGCCUGACAAACAAGACAGGCUCCCUUCAAUGCCCUCUCCGUUCGACUGAUUGCAAACAUCAGGGAAAAGGAGAAAACUCAAAGGAGAUCCUCUCUAUGUCCUGUCCCCAGUCAGCACUAGUGUUGCAAGAAGACUACAAGCAGGGUGAGGGACAGGAGCUUAUCUCUCUCCAUUGCUACAGAGACUUGACUAGAAGGUGAGUAUGGGAAAAGGGGGAAGUGGGAAGGUAGAUGCUUUCUCUUUGAGAUCCAGGACAAGAGGAGCAAAGCAAGGAGAAGAUGAGGUAAAAACAGAAGAUUGUCCCUCUCUUCCUUUUCCUCCUGCUGGAAUGCCCUCUCCAGGAGACCCAUCGGUCAGA